rnacentral:lncRNA from 1 species
CGGUUUGAUACCCCACAGAAAAUGGCAUAUCAAAGGCUCUUGAUUGACCGGAGUGUCGUGAAUCGUGCUAUGCGUCGUCGAAAUCGCGGAACGUAGCCCGUUAAUGGAACGUUCCGAUCGGCCUGUAGUGAAAAGGUAUGAUAAAGAUCCAGCAUCGUGGAGAUAGGGGUAAUAAAGGGAUCGCAGUCCCUUCCCAUACACCAGCGAACUCAAGGUGUUCCAUGCGGAUAAGUUAUUU